rnacentral:tRNA from 1 species
GGGUGUGCUGCUUCGUGGCCAUAGUUUUGCAAAAACUAAUGAGGAUUUUUACAGAUCCCACGCCUU